UGGACACUGAGGCACAAGGUGGGGAUCAACUAGAUGUAGACCGUGACAGCUGAAGCAGGAGACAGGCAAGAAUUCCAGUUGGCAGGGUGCUACAUACCCAGCACAGAGGCCUCUAUCCAGCACAGGAGGUCUGGGCAAGAGGAGAUGGCUUCUCACCCCAGGGGGAGAGUACUCUUGCCAGAGAGACUAUUACUAGUAGAACCUGAGGUACCAGGGUGAGCAAGUUGGUGGAUGACAUCAAUGGAGUGAGUAUGGGUUAUGGCUAAGCAGCAGUGGGAUUCCUGUUUUGGGCAGCCUCCUGACAUCCUUUUCAGGCUGGAUCCAAACUGGGGCCCAAUGCAGAGUAAAGCUUGGGAAAAUGGCAGCUGGGAAGUGACCCCAAGGAGAGCUGCGCCCCCUUUACUCCUCUACUUCCCAUGGGUGCUGUUGGCUUUUCUGCUUCCUCCACAGCCCACCUCCCUCCCAGGCCAGGAGACCAGCAUCAAGGCAUAGUCGUCCAGUGAGUCAAGAGGGGAACAGACCCUUUCGUGGAGACUUUCAUCUGAGCCAAGUCUGUCUUCUGCCUGACAAGACACUGCCAGCGACCUUGCGGAGAAUAUGCAUCACUUUGGCUGGACUGCUGAAAGGGUACUGUUCCGAUUUGGAAAGAGUUCUGUGCUUCUUGACUUGGAGCCAGUAGUCUGCAUCACAGAUUCGGGAUUUGGAGGCAAUUAUUUGAUGAAAUAUGGACACUUUCGAGCUAGACUGUGGAAGAUAACAAGAAUUUAAUUUUUAAACUUUGCUGAGUAAAUCAACCUGAUACCGGAUAUCAACAACCCAUUCAUUAUAUUCUUGAGAGCACUGCAUGCAGCUUCUUUGCCUCGUUCAUUACGAAUUGCUUGGGAGGCUAUGGAGGCCCCAGAAGAUGGACUUGAACCAGUGUCCAGUCUACAAAGAGG